GCUGUCUGCUGAGGCGAGAUGAACC
rnacentral:piRNA from 1 species